rnacentral:rRNA from 1 species
GUGGGGGAUAUUGCACAAUGGAGGAAACUCUGAUGCAGCGACGCCGCGUGAGUGAAGAAGUAUUUCGGUAUGUAAAGCUCUAUCAGCAGGGAAGAUAAUGACAGUUCCUGACUAAGAAGCCCCGGCUAACUACGUGCCAGCAGCCGCGGUAAUACGUAGGGGGCAAGCGUUAUCCGGAUUUACUGGGUGUAAAGGGAGCGUAGACGGAAUGGCAAGUCUGAAGUGAACUCCUGCGGCUUAACUGCAGAAUUGCUUUGGAAACUGUCAAUCUGGAGUGUUGGAGAGGUAAGCGGAAUUCCUGGUGUAGCGGUGAAAUGCGUAGAUAUCAGGAAGAACACCGGAGGCGAAGGCGGCUUACUGGACAAUAACUGACGUUGAGGCUCGAAAGCGUGGGAAGCAAACAGGAUUAGAAACCCUGGUAGUCC